AGCAGCCGCGGUAAUUCCAGCUCCAAUAGCGUAUAUUAAAGUUGCUGCAGUUAAAAAGCUCGUAGUUGAAUUUCGGGAUCAAUAUGUUGGUCGUGCCUCGGUACGUACUAGCUUAUUGGUUUCUCCCUUCUGACGAACCAUGAUGUCAUUUAUUUGGUGUUAUGGGAAAUCAGGACUGUUACUUUGAAAAAUUAGAGUGUUUAAAGCAGGCUCACGCUUGAAUACAUUAGCAUGGAAUAAUGAAAUAGGACGUUUGAUUCUAUUUUGUUGGUUUCUAGGAUCGACGUAAUGAUUAAUAGGGAUAGUUGGGGGCAUUAGUAUUCAAUUGUCAGAGGUGAAAUUCUUGGAUUUAUUGAAGACUAACUACUGCGAAAGCAUUUGCCAAGGAUGUUUUCAUUAAUCAAAGAACGAAAGUUAGGGGAUCGAAGACGAUCAGAUACCGUCGUAGUCUUAACCAUAAACUAUGCCGACUAGGGAUCGGAUGAUGUUAAUUUUAAUGA
rnacentral:misc_RNA from 1 species